rnacentral:rRNA from 1 species
AGAACGAACGCUGGCGGCAGGCCUCAAACAUGCAAGUCUAGGGGGCGUAGCAAUACGUCACCGGCGGACGGGUGCGUAACACGUGGGAAUGUACUUACUGGUUCGGAACAACUCAGGGAAACUUGAGCUAAUACCGAAUGUGCCCGAAAGGGGAAAGAUUUAUCGCCAGUAAAUCAGCCCGCGUCCGAUUAGCUAGUUGGUGGGGUAAAGGCCCACCAAGGCGACGAUCGGUAGCUGUUCUGAGAGGAAGAUCAGCCACACUGGGACUGAGACACGGCCCAGACUCCUACGGGAGGCAGCAGUUGGGAAUCUUGGACAAUGGGGAAACCUGAUCCAGCCAUGCCGCGUGAGUGAUGAAGGCCUUCGGGUUGUAAACUCUUUCGACGGGGACGAUAAUGACGGUACCCGUAGAAGAAGCUCCGGCUAACUUCGCGCCAGCAGCCGC